UGUUGUUGCCAUGGUAAUCCUGCUCAGUAAGAGAGGAACCGCAGAUUCCGACAUUUGGUGUAUGUGCUUGGCUGAGGAGCCACCAUCUGUGGGAUUAUGACUGAACUCCUCUAACUCAGAAUCCCGCCCAGGUGGAAUGAUACCGCAGCGCCUUAGGAGCCUCGGUUGGCCUCAGAUAGCUGGUCCCCCUUUAGUCCCCACCAGCCCGCCCAGGGCCGGCUCUGGCAUCUGCGAGGGGUCGGGGUCGUCGCCCCACCACCGUGUGUCAGGACCAAGGUCCGGUGGGGAGAGCCUCUGGUCCUGGGAAACAGGUGCAGCUGGAAAGGGCACUGCCCCCACUCCCAUCACACAACUCAUGUUCCUGUGGAACCUGGCGCUAAACCACUCAUAGAUGACCUGCUUCUGGGUCGGGGUUUCGUACAUAGCAGAGCAGCUCCCUUGCUGCAAUCUAUUGAAAGUCAGCCCUCCACACAAGGGUUU
rnacentral:ncRNA from 1 species